rnacentral:tRNA from 1 species
GCCGGAGUGGCGGAACAGGCAGACGCCCGCGACUCAAAAUCGCGUGCCCUUACGGGCGUGUGGGUUCGACUCCCACCUCCGGCAUCA